UGGGGGAUAUUGCACAAUGGGCGAAAGCCUGAUGCAGCGACGCCGCGUGGGGGAUGAAGGCUUUCGGGUUGUAAACCUCUUUCGCUAUCGAACAAGGCCCGCUUAGGGUGGGUUGAGGGUAGGUGGAGAAGAAGCGCCGGCUAACUACGUGCCAGCAGCCGCGGUAAUACGUAGGGCGCGAGCGUUGUCCGGAAUUAUUGGGCGUAAAGGGCUUGUAGGCGGCUUGUUGCGCCUGCUGUGAAAACGCGGGGCUUAACUUCGCGCGUGCAGUGGGUACGGGCAGGCUUGAGUGUGGUAGGGGUGACUGGAAUUCCAGGUGUAGCGGUGGAAUGCGCAGAUAUCUGGAGGAACACCGAUGGCGAAGGCAGGUCACUGGGCCAUUACUGACGCUGAGAAGCGAAAGCAUGGGGAGCGAACAGG
rnacentral:rRNA from 1 species